rnacentral:rRNA from 1 species
GAUGAACGCUAGCGGCAGGCCUAAUACAUGCAAGUCGGACGGGAUUCAGGAGCUUGCUUCUGAUGAGAGUGGCGCACGGGUGCGUAACACGUAUGUAACCUACCUUUAUCAGGGGGAUAGCCUCCCUAAAGAGAGAUUAAGCCCGCAUAAAAUCACAGCACAGCAUUGUGUAAUGAUCAAAUAUUUAUAGGAUAAAGAUGGGCAUGCGGAACAUUAGCUAGAUGGCGGGGUAACGGCCCACCAUGGCGACGAUGUUUAGGGGAUCUGAGAGGAUGGCCCCCCACACUGGUACUGAGACACGGACCAGACUCCUACGGGAGGCAGCAGUAAGGAAUAUUGGUCAAUGGGCGGAAGCCUGAACCAGCCAUGCCGCGUGCAGGAAGACGGCCAUACGGGUUGUAAACUGCUUUUAUACGGGAAUAAACCCAGAUACGUGUAUCUGGCUGAAUGUACUGUAAGAAUAAGGAUCGGCUAACUCCGUG